rnacentral:rRNA from 1 species
GGCGAGUGAAGCGGGAAGAGCUCACCAUGUGAAUCUGUGUAACCAAUGUGAAAACAAUGGUGCACCGAAUUGUGGUCUGGAGAAGUAUUGUCGGCCGUAUUUCCGGGCCAAGUCCCUUGGAAAAGGGCAGCUGAGAGGGUGAAACUCCCGUUCUUGCCUGGAAAUAUUGUGCCUUGGCAUAUGCUUUCUACGAGUCGAGUUGCUUGGGAUUGCAGAUCUAAGCGGGUGGUAAAUUCCA